rnacentral:lncRNA from 1 species
CCUGCUCUGCCCCCCCGCUCCACUCGUAUCGACCGUGUUCUGUCACACUUGUCAUUGAUAAAUGCUCGAUAAGUUUGGCAAAUAUUUGUGUGCAGCUCGCAAGGUGUUAAUUGCAGCACACGGCAACUAUCUAUUACCCAUGAGCUGUCAUGUCCUUGGAUGAGGGGGUAGCGUUGCCAUGGGGGGUAUUGUUGUGGCGAUUUAGACACCUCAGCACACGUACGUUACAGAUAGCCAUUGGAGUUAGUUUCCGUCAAACAUUCACAGGUUUUUAUCCAAGUGAUAACCGAAU